UCUAUUCAGUAAAUUAAUAUGUAUUUAUGACGUAUUUGUUUUGCAUUUCAGAAUACCAGCUAAAUUGCAGUCUGUGUCUCAUAGCUGAACAGACUGCCUGAAGUUACAUUUAGAGACUGAAAUCACUGCACCUUAAAAAAAAGAUUGAGCUACACUGUGUUCCUAAUGUUUCACUACCACUGACUUGAUAUUCCUCACAUUGCUGGCUGCAGGAGUUUUUUGUGGAAAAGCAGGAAAAGAGAAGUGGAGGAGGAAGGCAUCCUACCAUAUCCUGUAAUAAACCCAUCAAGUGUCACUACUCUCCGCGAGACUCUGGAAAGAAGCUGCCACAGGACACAUCUGAACCUUGCAGUGGCUGGCAAUUUUCCUCUACGUUCUGAGAAAAAGAAUUAG
rnacentral:lncRNA from 1 species